AACGAACGCUGGCGGCAGGCUUAACACAUGCAAGUCGAACGCGCCCUUCGGGGCGAGUGGCAGACGGGUGAGUAACGCGUGGGAACCUACCUUUUGGUACGGAAUAACUCAGGGAAACUUGAGCUAAUACCGUAUGUGCCCCUCGGGGGAAAGAUUCAUCGCCAAAGGAUGGGCCCGCGUCGGAUUAGCUAGUUGGUGGGGUAAUGGCCUACCAAGGCGACGAUCCGUAGCUGGUCUGAGAGGAUGAUCAGCCACACUGGGACUGAGACACGGCCCAGACUCCUACGGGAGGCAGCAGUGGGGAAUAUUGGACAAUGGGGGCAACCCUGAUCCAGCCAUGCCGCGUGAGUGAUGAAGGCCUUAGGGUUGUAAAGCUCUUUCGCCGGUGAAGAUAAUGACGGUAACCGGAGAAGAAGCCCCGGCUAACUUCGUGCCAGCCGCCGCUGUAAAAC
rnacentral:rRNA from 1 species